rnacentral:piRNA from 1 species
UGCAGAUUGUUUGCCUGGGAGCAGA